rnacentral:rRNA from 1 species
GAAAUAUUGGACAAUGGGCGAAAGCCUGCUCCCGCAAUGCCGCGUGUGUGAAGAAGGCCUUCGGGUUGUAAAGCACUUUCAGUGGGAAAGAAAAGCUCAGCGCUAAUACCGUUGAGUAUUGACGUUACCCAAAGAAGAAGCACCCGCUAACUCUGUGCCAGCAGCCGCGGUAAAACGUAGGUCCCGAGCGUUAUCCGGAUUUACUGGGCGUAAAGCGCGUUCAGGCGGUGGGCUAAGUCGGGCAUGAAAUCUCUCGGCUCAACCGGGAGAGGUUGUCCGAUACUGGUUCACUUGAGGGCAGUAGAGGGUGGUGGAAUUCCGGGUGUAGUGGUGAAAUGCGUAGAGAUCCGGAGGUACACCAGUGGCGAAGGCGGCCACCUGGACUGCCCCUGACGCUGACGCGCGAAAGCUAGGGGAGCGA